ACUCAAUAGAUACCCGGGUAGUCCUAGCCUUAAACGAUGAUGACUUGGUGUGUCGGGUUUGUAGUCCCGAUGUGCCGGGGCUAAACGCGUUAAGUCAUCCGCCUGGGGAGUACGGUCGCAAGACUGAAACUCAAAGGAAUUGACGGGGACCCGGCACAAGCGGUGGAGCAUGUGGUUUAAAAUUCGACGCAACGCGAAGAACCUUACCUGGGCUAGAAUGCGCGAGACGAGGGUGCAAAACAUCCUCUCCUAUGGGAAACCAUAGGCUCAAAGCAAGGUGCUGCAUGGCUGUCGUCAGCUCGUGUCGUGAGAUGUUGGGUUAAAGUUCCCGCAACGAGCGCAACCCGUUACCGUUAGUUGCUACAGUUCGGCUGAGCACUCUAAUGGAACCCGCUGGUGAUAAACCUGGAGGAAGGUGGGGUAUGACGUCAAGUCAUCAUGGCCUUUAUGUCCAGGGCUACACACGUGCUACAAUGGCCGGUACAAA
rnacentral:rRNA from 1 species